CUGGGUUUAAGUGGCACUACACCAAAGGGCGAGACCUCGGAAUCUGGACACCCCCUCGGUCAGCGAAGGACUGCGGAUACCAUUGCUCGCAGAUCGAGCCCCAACCAGGCAGGAGGAGGCUGAGAGGCGAAAGGGAGACGGGAAGCGGGGCAGGAAACCGUUAGCCAGUGAUUUUAAUCUCAGGAAACAUGUCUUUCCAAAGCUUAGGGGACAUGGCUGAGGGAAGGCUCAAUUCCAUCUAAUGUGGACUGCACGCCAUGCUGUACUAGGAAUGUGUGCAAGAAAAAGAAAAUAACCAAUAUAUAUUCAAGGAGCUACAUCUUCUCGUGGGUGUUUAUUUCCAUUAUGCAUAUCCUUGUCUCAAGAAUGACACCUUGUAAUGAAUCACAUAUAUUUACACAGAUCUUGUAGGAUGAGCUAUUAACCCUGUCACAGGUAACUGGCAUGGUUCUAAGGCAUACAUAGGUGGUGACAGUGGCCAAGGGGAGGGAUCGGUCAAAAGAUUAAUGGCAGGGCACCCGGUGCGACACCCGCAGAGUUUAGGUUUGCAUAUUAAGCAUGAAGUCACUUGACAGCUCGCGAUUUUGGAGACAAGGGGAAACCAAGGGUGUUAUGGCUCCACCGGGAAUGACUUCAGAUAGUGGAGCGUGAUCACCUGCUUCAGCAGCACCUGGUGGAUAGUACCAGGGCCGGUGAGCACACCUGGGGAAUGGAGAAACGGUUCUGCUAAUUACAAGCUGGCUGACCUUGAACAAACCAAGGGCCCCAGUCAAUGAACCUAAGAUGGG